rnacentral:piRNA from 1 species
UGGUUGGACAUCACAAGCUGGUGCUGAAUU